AUGACGUUAACCUACUGUAGAUCUUUUGAGAUUCAAUUUUAAUGUGCAGCGUUCUGUGUGUAUGCAGAUUUUUAGUAGUUACUCUGAGGUAAUGAGGUAAAGCGGUUGAAUAAAUGUAUAAUUUCGCGUUCAUGUAGGCUACUUUAUUUAGCAUUAGCGGGUUAGCAAAACUCUGCUAGCAAGAAGCCUUUCGGCUGAAAACAACAAACCAGGCGUGUGCUCUCUAAUUAGCUCCAUGUGCUGUUAGCCUUUCGAUACGCUGUUUUGCUUUAGUAUGUUCCUUUUAACAACGAGGUUAAUUGGUAAACCUUGCUUCUAGGAGAUUUUUUGCCACGAUUUAGCGGUAACUAGUCACCUAUCCCCUGUUGGCUCUGUAGUUUGACUGCUAGCGUUAUGGGAACUGUGGUGUGGUAUAACGAAUAUAUCUGGACUAGAUUAACGUUAGCACCCUCGUUUUUAAACACCCAACAAGUUAAUGUUUAGAGGACACUGGUCUUUAACAGAUUUUUGUUGUAGUGAAGAAACCUUUUUAGGUAAAUACGUGAGUCUUGGGUUUUUCUGCCACGUCUCGUAAGAUGGAGCCUCAAUUUGGAUUGAAGUCCAGACAAACCAACUGCCAGUUGUCAUUCAUGAACGACCCGAAAAGCCUGCUUUGUUUAAAUUAAGAUCAUAUUCAAAAUAUCCACAGGUUUUACUGACGGUGGAAGCAAUGCCAGGAUUUGACAGAAAAAACUAUCAGUGACGGUGGCCAGAGGAUCCUGUCUGUUGGCUACACAAACAAGAUGCUCCAGAUGAUCACCAGCAAUGGGGAAAUGCAUCCUUUACAUUUUCCCUCUUCAAGAACAAAUUGACACUACAAUCCUUCUCUAUUAGGCUGUGGAUGGGUGCACUGUAUACAACAACUCCGGAACUUGGAGGCAUGCAGCCCAGUGAAGACGAUGACAAAACGUUGUGGGCUCACACUACAAACCUCCAGACAAUUCAGAUGGUAAAUUGUUCAGACCAUUGUGA